rnacentral:lncRNA from 1 species
AUAAAUAGAAUUUGAAUGACCUCAUAACAGUGUGUGCCCAAGAAGAGUAUAGGAUGUGCCGUGAAACUGUUGAAACUGUGCAAUUAGCUUUUCAGCCAUCACAUAAUAAGGGGCCUUCUCAUAAUCAUAAACCUAAGUUUCGUAAGGGUAAUAAGUCCCACCGAAGUCAGCAGAAUAAAAAUUUUAGUGGUCCCAAAGGAGUUAUAAAGAAAAAUGAUCAAUGCAAGUUCUGUAAAAAGAAGGGUCACUGGCAGAAAGACUGUUUUAAGUUCAAG